AAGAAGGAAAGAAGAAAGGAAAGAAGUGUGAAGAAAGGAAAGAAGAGUGGAAGAAGGAAAGAAGAGUGAAGAAAGGAAAGAAGAAAAGAAAGAAGAGUGAAAGAAGGAAAGAAGAAAGGAAAGAAGAGUGAAGAAAGGAAAGAAGAGUGGAAGAAGAAGAAGAAAGGAAAGAAGAGUGAAGAAAGGAAAGAAGAGUGGAAGAAGGAAAGAAGAGUGGAAGAAGGAAAGAAUAAAGGAAAGAAGAGUGAAGAAAGGAAAGAAGAAAAGAAAGAAGAGUGAAAGAAGGAAAGAAGAAAGGAAAGAAGAGUGAAGAAAGGAAAGAAGAGUGGAAGAAGAAAAGAAAGAAGGAAAGAAGAAAGGAAAGGAGAGUAAAAGAAGGAAAGAAGAGUGGAAGAAGGAAAGAAGAGUGAAGAAAGAAAAGAAGAGUAGAAGAAGGAAAGAAGAAAGGAAAGGAGAGUGGAAGAAGGAAAGAAGAGUGGAAGAACGAAAGAAGAAGAGUGGAAGAAGGAAAGAAUAAUAUUCCUAGUUAUACAGUUGAAUGGAGAGGGACAGAGAGAAGAGGAGCCUUGGAACCUUGGCGCAGGUGUCAGUGAAGCACAGGUGCAAGCCAGUUUAAAGACCCUAUUAUGAUGUCAUAAUGGCCCUAUGUAAGUCAAUGGGAGAAAUUUUAUUAGUUUUUAUUUAAUAUUUUAAAAAGUAUAAAGUUUAGAAAAAUGAAAAAUACAUAGCAUAAGUGUCCUUUACAAGACCUACGCAGCAAAGUUUGAACAAAGUUUCUAAGUUAAGCGGUUCGAGCUGAAUUAAGCGCAGAAGUUCGGUAAAGAGAAUAACUAGAAAAUGCAUUUCCUGAAGGAAAUACCAGUGCAUGAAAUGCAAAAGUUAAGAAAGGAAGAAGAAAAGAAAGAAGAGUGAAAGAAGGAAAUAAGAAAGGAAAGAAGAGUAAAGAAAGGAAAGAAGAAAGGAAAGAAGAGUCGAAGAAGGAAAGAAGAAGGAAAGAAGAAAAGAAAGAAGAGUGAAGAAAGGAAAGAAGAAGGAAAGAGGAAAAAAAAGAAAAGUAUAAGAAGGAAAGAAGAAAGGAAAGGAGAGUGGAAGAAGUAAAGAAGAAGGAAAGAAGAAAAGAAAGAAGAGUGAAGAAAGAAAAGAAGAGUGGAAGAAGGAAAGAAGAAAAAAAAAGAAAAGUGAAAGAAGGAAAGAAGAGUGAAAGAAGGAAAAAAGAGUGGAAGAAGGAAAGAAGAAAAGAAAGAGUGAAAGAAGGAAAGAAGAGUGGAAGAAGAGUGGAAGAAGGAAAGAAGAAAAGAAAGAAGAGAGAAAGAAGGAAAGAAGAAAGGAAAGAAGAGUGGAAGAAGAGUGAAGAAAGAAAAGAAGAGUAGAAGAAGGAAAGAAGAGUGGAAGAAGGAAAGAAGAGUGAAGAAAGAAAAGAAGAGUAGAAGAAGGAAAGAGAAGUGGAAGAAGGAAAGAAGAAAGGAAAGGAGAGUGGAAGAAGGAAAGAAGAGUGGAAGAAUGAAAGAAGAAGAGUGGAAGAAGUAAAGAAUAAUAUUCCUAGUUAUACAGUUGAAUGGAGAGGGACAGAGAGAAGAGGAGCCUUGGAACCUUGGCGCAGGUGUCAGUGAAGCACAGGUGCAAGCCAGUUUAAAGACCCUAUUAUGAUGUCAUAAUGGCCCAAUGUAAGUCAAUGGGAGAAAUUGUAUUAGUUUUUAUUUAAUAUUUUAAAAAGUAUAAAGUUUAGAAAAAUGAAAAAUACAUAGCAUAAGUGUCCUUUACAAGACCUACGCGCCAAAGUUUGAACGAAGUUUUUAAGUUAAGCGGUUCGAGCUGAAUUAAGCGCAGAAGUUCGGUAAAGAGAAUAAUAAUAAGAAGAAGAAGAAGAAUAAGAAGCCUAGGAAUAACAAUACAGGGCAUUUCAUGCACUGUAAUAAGAAG
ensembl:lncRNA